CUUUUAUUGAACUAUACUUAUUAUAAAAAUAGAAACCAUAUCGAGAAAAACCUCAGGAAAAUUCAGAACAUAUAAAGCUGUCCAAAAAAAAAAUUUGAGACCAUAUAAGAAUUGCUUUCUUCUUCCCUGCAUCAGUCAAGUAACAAAACAUGAUAAAUCUGGAAUCCUCAGACUCAAAACCACACAAAGGCCAAGCAAUAGGACAAGAAGCUAAUGAGGGGACAGAAAAUAAGUUGCAACAAACAUGCUUAAAUCUAGUAGCUGGGCUUAUGGAUUAAUUGGAUUAGCACUAAAUCAAGGGCAUGAUAACUUGACCGUAGGACAAGAAGUUGAUUCACAAUCCAUUAUCGAUACGUUGUCAACAGACUCUUGAAUUUUAAAAAGGGUUGGCGACUGCCCAAGCGCUUUUGUCGGCAUUGUUGCAGGAGGUUCAAAGGUUUCCAUUAAUUUCUUCAAAAGGAGUGUCUCAUUAUCACAGGGUAGAACUUCAAGAAACACCUCAACUUCUGAAGCGAAGCAGGCCAAGUAACCAAACCUGUACAAAGAAAACAAAAAUACUAAGUCGAAGCCUGCUGCAUCACUUUGCACAUUGAGUGUUGUACAAUACAAAGCAAAAUAGAAAAUCCCAGCACAUGCUCCACAUGCCUAUCGAGAAUAAUCGAUAUUGGCCUGAACUGUUUGACCAAAAUAACUAGGUUACAAAACCAAAUAAUUAUCGGUCAGUGGAAAAACUUCGAAGAACAGAUGACUGUAAGGAAGGCCAAGUGACAAUAUAUGAACAGUUUAGCUAAGCAUCAUCAAAAGUUAACAGCUGAUUUAUAUUUCACCAAUUAAACAGAGAUCGGCUUCAGUAAGUAUCAACAUGACACUUCUUUUUUCAGCCAACCUAUAGUGGUUGCAAGUUACUGCAAGACCAAGAGGUCCAAGACCACAUGUACAUGGUCAUCAAUACAAUAGCAUAACUAACUUCAGAUAUUAACAGAGUGAAAAAGUCAAUCAAGAUUUACAGCCUACCAUCAAGGGAAAUAGAUAUAUACAAGGAACUGGUUUCUUUUUUUUUAAUAAGCAGCAAAAGAAAUUGGAUUAACACGACUUUCUGACAGAGUUGAUCUUUUCAACGGAUAAAAAAGCAGUGAUAACUGACAUCCAAGACACAACAUUUGACCUUUGUGGCUUUGUCCUUGAAUUGCCUAAAUACCAUCAGUGCCUCAUCCGCAAAGCCUUUUUUGAAAGCCCACUAACUAGAGCACUACAAGCACCCUAACAUGUCCAUUUCAUCAAACACUUGUGACAUCUACGAACUACAACUGCACUUCCCCUACAAAUCGAUAAGGGCGCUAACAAUGCAUUUGUCCGAUUCCACUCCCAUCUUGAUUUGACUACCCAAAGUCAAAUCCUCCAAAUCCCCCUCUUCAGGAAGAACACUUGAUACACCACUCCCAUUAGGCUUUAAACCUCACGAAUGCAUAUUUUUGAAAAGUCAACACUGACUCCGAAUAACAUCCACUCUGAUUGAAUCCCCUCGAUCAUCCCAUUACAAGAUAUCAUAUUUGGCUCGAUCCCGUUAUUCUCCAUGUCCUCAAAGACCUCCUUUGCCUCACUUACAUGUCCUUUUGGAGCACAACCUGAAACUAAAGCAAUCCAAGAAACCACGUCUGUUUCAGACAUUUCAUCGAGCAGUUUAUGGGAAUCC